UAGGUGCCUAUAUCGGUGGUGUCCACCUCUUCCCAUUCCGAACAGAGAAGUUAAGCCCACCAGAGCCGAUGGUACUGCGGUAACACGUGGGAGAGUAGGUCGGUGCCAAAU
rnacentral:rRNA from 1 species